AUUGAACGCUGGCGGCAUGCUUUACACAUGCAAGUCGAACGGUAACAGGCCGCAAGGUGCUGACGAGUGGCGAACGGGUGAGUAAUGCAUCGGAACGUGCCCAGUCGUGGGGGAUAACUACUCGAAAGAGUAGCUAAUACCGCAUACGAUCUAUGGAUGAAAGCGGGGGACCGUAAGGCCUCGCGCGAUUGGAGCGGCCGAUGUCAGAUUAGGUAGUUGGUGGGGUAAAGGCUCACCAAGCCAACGAUCUGUAGCUGGUCUGAGAGGACAACCCGCCACACUGGGACUGAGACACGGCCCAGACUCCUACGGGAGGCAGCAGUGGGGAAUUUUGGACAAUGGGCGCAAGCCUGAUCCAGCAAUGCCGCGUGCAGGAAGAAGGCCUUCGGGUUGUAAACUGCUUUUGUACGGAACGAAACGGCUCUGGUUAAUACCCGGGGCUAAUGACGGUACCGUAAGAAUAAGCACCGGCUAACUACGUG
rnacentral:rRNA from 1 species